rnacentral:lncRNA from 1 species
AUGAAACUGAGUCAGAAUAUGUUUUUACAGGAGCACAGGUGAUCUUCUCCAGAAGAGAAGAUGAUGGCUGAUGGUCAUUCAGUCUACAGGACCAGACUAGAGCUACCUAGGUUUACAGGGAACAUGUUAGACUUUGCUCAGCCUGGGGAAACCACAUGUACAAAUCCUGGGGAACAAAACAUGAAGACAAGAUACUAGCAGACGGAAAGGACUGAACAGUGUUUGAAGUCACUCUGAAUUUGUGGUCCAAGAGUCUUUCUCACCUUCCUGCUAUUGAUACCCUUGCUGUUUGUGUGAGUCUGCAUCUUCCAGGUAACUCUCAGUGUAUUUACUUUUCAUGUAAAUAUGUAUUUAUUUUUGUGAAGACUUCUCUUUAUUAAAUUUUCAGUAGCUCUCAGAAGUCCUUAACUCAAGGAUUAAUACACAUCUUACACAGCAAACUGUUCAUGCUCUGCUCUUCUAUAUAGAUAUUUUUUCUCUUUAAAAGUUCAGCUCAAAAAAUAAACCCUUCUUCUGCUUAAGAUGGAAGUGCCA